CGGGAAUAUUGCGCAAUGGGCGAAAGCCUGACGCAGCGACACCGCGUGUGGGAUGACGCUCUUCGGAGUGUAAACCACUGUGGCGAGGGAAUAAUUAAUGAAGGUACCUCGCUAGAAAGCACCAGCUACCUACGUGCCAGAAGCUUCGGUAAUACGUAGGGUGCGAGCGUUAUCCGGAUUUACUGGGCGUAAAGGGUCCGUCGGCGUCUGUACAAGUUUUUUGUUUAAGCCUGAGGCUCAACUUCAGAAAAGCAAAAAAUACUGUACGGAUAGAGUUUGUUCGAGGAAGUUGGAAUUCUUGGUGGAGGGGUGAAAUCCGUAGAUAUCAAGAGGAACACCGCGCGCGAAGGCAGGCUUCUAGAACAACACUGACGCUCAUGGACGAAAGCUUGGGUAGCAAAGC
rnacentral:rRNA from 1 species